UACGUAGGGUGCAAGCGUUGUCCGGAAUUAUUGGGCGUAAAGAGCUCGUAGGUGGCCUGUCGCGUCGGCUGUGAAAACUCGGGGCUCAACUCCGAGCUUGCAGUCGAUACGGGCAGGCUAGAGUUCGGCAGGGGAGACUGGAAUUCCUGGUGUAGCGGUGAAAUGCGCAGAUAUCAGGAGGAACACCGGUGGCGAAGGCGGGUCUCUGGGCCGAUACUGACACUGAGGCGCGAAAGCGUGGGGAGCAAACAGG
rnacentral:rRNA from 1 species